CUGCCGCAGGCCCCAAAUCCGAGCACCGAGAACCCGCCUCCGCGUUCCGGCCGCUGCCGCCGCCCGCCCCUUCCUGCCCGGCCCGGCCCGGCCCGCCCUUCCCGCCGGCGCUGCCAUCGGCGUACCGGGGUGAUUUCAGUCAUCAGAGGGCUUCCAGUGCAAACUGAAGCAUGACCGAGGCCCACAGAUGAUCUCAGAGAGUCCAUGAGAAAGCUCUGGAAAUUAAAAGCAAGGGGUAAUCAAGUGUUUUCUUAUUUGAGGGGUAUCCAAGUGUUUUCUCGGCAAGAAUCCUGUGGAGGAAUGGAGCAAAGGAAUGAAAGAAGGAAAGGAAGGAUCUCUAAUCCCAAAAAGAUGGACUAGGUCAGUGUUACCAGCAGAAGACACGGAGUACCACUUUAGUAGCCUCAAGUGCACUUGAAUGCUCAAACUGUCUGUGCUGCCAUGUCCCAGCCCCUCUCUCCCCCAGAGGAGCAACAGAAAGAAAUUAAACAACUGCAGUUGAGGAGGGCAAGGAGUUCAGGAAGGCUCUAAUCUCCUGAACUUGCUGGUGGGGGGAUGAGGUGAGAAGAACUUGUUCUUAUUUGCUGAGAAAUAGAAGCUUUGUCGUAAGCAAACUUCGUAAAAGUGCCUGAGCACUCCUGCUUGUGUUUCUGCUGACAUGGCUUGAUGGACUUUUGGGUGACCCCAGAUUUUAGGAGCCUGGAGAUCUUUCAGCUGCAGAAGGGUGACUCAAAGUGCAGUAACAUCUGGAAGUGGGCUGCUGAACUUCAAGGCUGAUGUUUGAAAAUAGGAUAAUUUUCUAUUGCAUUUCACAUUCCGUGCUGUUAAAAAGAUCUGGGAAAGUGGAAGACAGACCUGCCACUAUUACAGUGCUUUAGAAGCUUCAGAUUUACUCUGUCAGUUCCCACGUCCAAAGUGGAAAAUAUCUUAAAAUUUCCUGGUUCCUAAUUAUUAAAACAAUAUGAAACCAUCUUGCAGAGGUUGGAAGCUUGGACAGCCAGAGAAACACCUAUGAUCCUAACUUAAAAAGUUUAAAACUAGGUGGGAUGAAUCCAUGCUCUGUGUCUGUUUGCUCUGUGCCCCAUUAAUGGGUGGGGGUGACUUGUCUGUGCCUUUUGUCUGAUGUUUCUUGUUGUCCCCCACUGGCCAAGUUUUCAGCCAAGCCCUGAUUCUGGCUCUGCUUUGUCACGAGUGAUGCUCCCUGCUUGGCAUGUGCCUUGUGCUUAUCUGAAUUGCCCACAACCCUCUAAUGCUUCUCAGCUUAUUACUGCCUCAUUAAUCAUUUGCAGGCAGUUUAUGCUUUCAUCCUGUUUUCCCCGCUUUCAGUGUGUUUGCUAAAGAAAAUGUGUUCCUCUGAAAUGCUUUGGACAGAGUUGUUUAUGGCAGGAAAUAGAUAUAAAAGAGCAGUUGUGUCAUUGCUGAGUAAAACCCCCGCAGCCGAACAUCCUGGAAAGAACUGGUGAUAACUGCUGUGAAUGUCUCCCUGAGCUGAGCUGGGGGUCAGGUUGUUGUGACUCUGGAGAAAAGGGACUUCAAAUAAUACUCAACUUAAAAAUCA